rnacentral:rRNA from 1 species
GACGAACGCUGGCGGCGUGCUUAACACAUGCAAGUCGAACGGAAAGGCUCCAGCUUGCUGGCGUACUCGAGUGGCGAACGGGUGAGUAACACGUGGGUAAUCUGCCCUGCACUCUGGGAUAAGCCUGGGAAACUGGGUCUAAUACUGGAUAUGACCUUUCUCCUUAUGGGGUUUGGUGGAAAGUUUUUCGGUGUAGGAUGAGCCCGCGGCCUAUCAGCUUGUUGGUGGGGUGAUGGCUUACCAAGGCGACGACGGGUAGCCGGCCUGAGAGGGUGAUCGGCCACAUUGGGACUGAGAUACGGCCCAGACUCCUACGGGAGGCAGCAGUGGGGAAUAUUGCACAAUGGGCGGAAGCCUGAUGCAGCGACGCCGCGUGAGGGAUGACGGCCUUCGGGUUGUAAACCUCUUUCAGCAGGGACGAAGCGUAAGUGACGGUACCUGCAGAAGAAGCACCGGCUAACUAUGUG